GACGAACGCUGGCGGCGUGCUUAACACAUGCAAGUCGAACGGGUCUGCCCUGUUUUUUGCGGGGUGGGUCAGUGGCGAACGGGUGAGUAACACGUGAGUAACCUGCCCCUCACUUCUGGAUAACCGCUUGAAAGGGUGGCUAAUACGGGGUGUUCUGGCUGUGCCGCAUGGUGUGGCUGGGAAAGAUUCACUUUUGUGGUGUUUUGGUGGGGGAUGGGCUCGCGGCCUAUCAGCUUGUUGGUGGGGUGAUGGCCUGCCGAGGCUUUGACGGGUAGCCGGCCUGAGAGGGUGGGCGGUCACACUGGGACGGAGAGACGGCCCAGACUCCUGCGGGAGGCAGCAGUGGGGGGUAUAGCACAAUGGGCGGAAGCAUGAUGCAGCGACGUCGCGGGAGGGAUGGAGGCCUUCGGGUUGUGAACCUCUUUCGCCGGUGAAGAAGGUCCUGCUCUUUGUGGUGGGGUUGACGGUAGCCGGGUUAUGAAGCGCCGGCUAACUACGUG
rnacentral:rRNA from 1 species